AGUUUUAUAGUCAAAAAUGAUAUUAGACUGCAAUUCUAAAGGAAUAAUGAAUAAUUAUUAAAGCUU
rnacentral:tRNA from 1 species